rnacentral:miRNA from 1 species
CUUGCUCUGUUAUCUCUCCAG